AUUGAACGCUGGCGGCAGGCCUAACACAUGCAAGUCGAGCGGAUGAAGGGAGCUUGCUCCUGGAUUCAGCUGCGGACGGGUGAGUAAUGCCUAGGAAUCUGCCUGGUAGUGGGGGAUAACGUCCGGAAACGGGCGCUAAUACCGCAUACGUCCUGAGGGAGAAAGUGGGGGAUCUUCGGACCUCACGCUAUCAGAUGAGCCUAGGUCGGAUUAGCUAGUUGGUGGGGUAAAGGCCUACCAAGGCGACGAUCCGUAACUGGUCUGAGAGGAUGAUCAGUCACACUGGAACUGAGACACGGUCCAGACUCCUACGGGAGGCAGCAGUGGGGAAUAUUGGACAAUGGGCGAAAGCCUGAUCCAGCCAUGCCGCGUGUGUGAAGAAGGUCUUCGGAUUGUAAAGCACUUUAAGUUGGGAGGAAGGGCAGUAAGUUAAUACCUUGCUGUUUUGACGUUACCAAAAGAAUAAGCACCGGCUAACUUCGUG
rnacentral:rRNA from 1 species